rnacentral:rRNA from 1 species
CUGCAGCUCGGCUGCAUGAAGCCGGAAUCGCUAGUAAUCGCGGAUCAGAACGCCGCGGUGAAUACGUUCCCGGGUCUUGUACACACCGCCCGUCACACCAUGGGAGUCGGGAACGCCCGAAGUCGGUGCCCCAACCUAACGGGAGGGAGCCGCCGAAGGCAGGCCCGGCGACUGGGGUGAAGUCGUAACAAGGUACC